UACGUAGGGUGCAAGCGUUGUCCGGAAUUAUUGGGCGUAAAGAGCUCGUAGGCGGUUUGUCGCGUCUGCUGUGAAAACUCGGGGCUUAACCCCGGGCCUGCAGUGGGUACGGGCAGACUAGAGUGCGGUAGGGGAGACUGGAAUCCUGGUGUAGCGGUGAAAUGCGCAGAUAUCAGGAGGAACACCGAUGCGAAGGCAGGUCUCUGGGCAUUAACUGACGCUGAGGAGCGAAAGCAUGGGGAGCGAACAGG
rnacentral:rRNA from 1 species